AUGAGUUCCUUAUUUCUCUUCCUCUCUCUCCUCUCUUCUCUCCCAUGUGUGCUCUCUGCUGUGCAGCUGGUUGAGUCUGGCCCAGGGGUGGUGAAGCCUGCAGAGACCCUCACCCUGACCUGCACUGUCACAGGCGACUCCAUCAGCAGUGGUUACUAUUGGAGCUGGAUCCGGCAGCCUCCUGGGAAAGGGCUGGAGUGGAUGGGGAACAUAUAUGGAUACAGUGAUACCACAAACUACAACCCAUCCCUCAAGAGUCGCAUCACCAUUUCCAAGGACACCUCCAAGAGCCAGUUCUCCCUGCAGCUGCGCUCUCUGACAGCCGCAGACACCGCCACGUAUUACUGUGCCAGAGACACACUGGUUGAGUCUGGCCCAGGGGUGGUGAAGCCUGCAGAGACCCUCACCCUGACCUGCACUGUCACAGGCUACUCCAUCACCACCAGUGGUUCCGCUUGGAGCUGGAUCCGGCAGCCUCCUGGGAAAGGGCUGGAGUGGAUGGGGUCCAUAGCUGGAAGCAGUGAUAGCACAUACUACAGCCCACCCCUCAAGAGCCGCAUCACCAUUUCCAAGGACAGCUCCAAGAGCCAGUUCUCCCUGCAGCUGCGCUCUCUGACAGCCGCAGACACCGCCACGUAUUACUGUGAGGUUAUCAAGCAGUACAAGUCUCAUGAAGGCUUCACCACAGAAUAUUUGGGGCCUUGUCAGCACGCCGUAGCCAGUGGCAUCCCCCAAGGCUCUGUCCUUGGCCCGGUUCUCUUCAACACCUUUGUCAAUGAUGUGGACAUUGGUGUCAGAAGCGCACUCGCUAAAUUCGAGAAUGACACUAAACUUUGA